rnacentral:rRNA from 1 species
UAGGGAAUUUUGCGCAAUGGGCGAAAGCCUGACGCAGCGACGCCGCGUGAGUGAAGAAGGCCUUCGGGUUGUAAAGCUCUGUCAGAAGGGACGAAUAAGUUUGUUCAAACAGAACAAGCGAUGACGGUACCUUCAGAGGAAGCACCGGCUAACUCUGUGCCAGCAGCCGCGGUAAUACAGAGGGUGCAAGCGUUAUUCGGAAUUACUGGGCGUAAAGCGCAUGCAGGUUGGGUAGCAUGUCAGAUGUGAAAUCCCGGGGCUCAACUCCGGAAUUGCAUUUGAAACUGCUACUCUUGAGUCUGGGAGAGGGAGAUGGAAUUCCUGGUGUAGAGGUGAAAUUCGUAGAUAUCAGGAGGAACACCGGAGGCGAAGGCGGUUUCCUGGUCCAGAACUGACACUCAGAGGCGAAAGCGUGGGGAUCAAACAGG